GGGCCGACCGGCAGCUCCUGGCCGCGGCGCGCUGUCCUGCUCACGUGGUGCGGCCGCACGUUUGCCGGGCGUGUGGCCUCGCGCCGCGGCCCAUUGUGUGCUAGCCCGGUGGCCUCGCCUGCAGCCGCCUCCUGCCCCCCGGGCCCGCCCCGCCCGGGGACGGCGACCUGUCCCUCCCUCGGGAACCGCCCGGGGCCGCUCCGCGCUCUCCGGCGGCGCCUCUGCCAGCUCGCCUCGGACCCAGCACCGGGCCCGCUGCGCCCUGUGCUGUUGGUUAGCUUUUCGUACUCUAGUCCUGGCGGGGACCCCAGAGGGCCCGCGGGGCCCCACUGCGACAGUCCUCUUCCCGGCCAAGGGGUCGCCCGGUUAGCACCAACGUAAGGGCCACCGCCUCCAGGGCAAAGACCGUACCGAGAUGCGUGCACGCUGAGAGCCGCACCUGGGAAGGGGGUGAGAUUCCGGGAUGCCAGAGAUGAGACCUGUCUUCCAGGGUUUACUCCCUGCCUGGGUAAUGGGGGUUUUUGAGAUGAGUGAGUAUAGGAUGUCGUUGAACUAGGACGUCAGUCGGCGCAUUGCGUUUCGCAGAAGCCAUUGAGCUGGGAAAGAAUUUAAUCCUGGCGUGGGUUUCGUUGUAUAGCAAUAGCGGGCACAAUUUUAAAGAAACUAAUAGAAUCUUCUUGCGGUAUGUACCCAGUAAAACAGGUUGGCCAUCAGAUAGACCCAUACUUACCCUGGGCUCUGCCUUACUA